UGAGGAAUCUUGCGCAAUGGGGGAAACCCUGACGCAGCAACGCCGCGUGAGUGAAGAAGGCCUUAGGGUCGUAAACCUCUGUUGUGUGGGAAGAAGAGCGUGACGGUACCACACGAGGAAGUCCCGGCUAACUACGUGCCAGCAGCCGCGGUAAUACGUAGGGGACGAGCGUUGUCCGGAUUUACUGGGCGUAAAGGGCGCGUAGGCGGUCAUUUAAGUCAGCUGUGAAAUGGUUUGGCUUAACCGGAUCAUGCGGUUGAAACUGGAUGACUGGAGUGCUGGAGAGGCAAGUGGAAUUCCCAGUGUAGCGGUGAAAUGCGUAGAUAUUGGGAAGAACACCGGUGGCGAAGGCGACUUGCUGGCCAGCAACUGACGCUGAGGCGCGAAAGCCAGGGGAGCAAACG
rnacentral:rRNA from 1 species